rnacentral:rRNA from 1 species
GUCCACGCCCUAAACGAUGUCAACUGGUUGUUGGGUCUUUACUGACUCAGUAACGAAGCUAACGCGUGAAGUUGACCGCCUGGGGAGUACGGCCGCAAGGUUGAACUCAAGGAAUUGACGGGGACCCGCACAAGCGGUGGAUGAUGUGGUUUAAUUCGAUGCAACGCGAAAACCUUAACCCACCUUUGACAUGUACGGAAUCCUUUAGAGAUAGAGGAGUGCUCGAAAGAGAGCCGUAACACAGGUGCUGCAUGGCUGUCGU